rnacentral:rRNA from 1 species
UACGUAGGGUGCAAGCGUUGUCCGGAAUUAUUGGGCGUAAAGAGCUCGUAGGCGGUCUGUCGCGUCUGCUGUGAAAACUCGGGGCUUAACCCCGGGCCUGCAGUGGGUACGGGCAGACUAGAGUGCGGUAGGGGAGACUGGAAUUCCUGGUGUAGCGGUGAAAUGCGCAGAUAUCAGGAGGAACACCGAUGGCGAAGGCAGUUCUCUGGGCCGUAACUGACGCUGAGGAGCGAAAGCGUGGGGAGCGAACAGG